rnacentral:rRNA from 1 species
GCAAGUCGAGGGGCAGCAUGAUUGAAGCUUGCUUCAAUUGAUGGCGACCGGCGCACGGGUGAGUAACGCGUAUCCAACCUUCCGUACACUCAGGGAUAGCCUUUCGAAAGAAAGAUUAAUACCUGAUGGUAUGAUGAGAUUGCAUGAUAGCAUCAUUAAAGAUUUAUCGGUGUACGAUGGGGAUGCGUUCCAUUAGGUAGUAGGCGGGGUAACGGCCCACCUAGCCUACGAUGGAUAGGGGUUCUGAGAGGAAGGUCCCCCACAUUGGAACUGAGACACGGUCCAAACUCCUACGGGAGGCAGCAGUGAGGAAUAUUGGUCAAUGGACGAGAGUCUGAACCAGCCAAGUAGCGUGAAGGAUGAAGGUCUUACGGAUUGUAAACUUCUUUUAUAAGGGAAUAAAACCUCCCACGUGUGGGAGCUUGUAUGUACCUUAUGAAUAAGCAUCGGCUAACUCCGUGCCAGCAGCCGCGGUAAUACGGAGGAUGCGAGCGUUAUCCGGAUUUAUUGGGUUUAAAGGGAGCGCAGACGGGUCGUUAAGUCAGCUGUGAAAGUUUGGGGCUCAACCUUAAAAUUGCAGUUGAUACUAGCGUCCUUGAGUGCGGUUGAGGUGUGCGGAAUUCGUGGUGUAGCGGUGAAAUGCUUAGAUAUCACGAAGAACUCCGAUUGCGAAGGCAGCACACUAAGCCGUAACUGACGUUCAUGCUCGAAAGUGUGGGUAUCAAACAGGAUUAGAUACCCUGGUAGUCCACACGGUAAACGAUGGAUACUCGCUGUUGGCGAUAUACGGUCAGCGGCUUAGCGAAAGCGUUAAGUAUCCCACCUGGGGAGUACGCCGGCAACGGUGAAACUCAAAGGAAUUGACGGGGGCCCGCACAAGCGGAGGAACAUGUGGU